UACGUAGGGCGCAAGCGUUGUCCGGAAUUAUUGGGCGUAAAGAGCUCGUAGGCGGUUUGUCGCGUCUGUCGUGAAAGCCCACGGCUUAACUGUGGAAGUGCAUCCGAAACUGCAUGGCUGGAGUCCCGGAGAGGAAGGUGGAAUGCUUGGUGUAGAGGUGAAAUUCGUAGAUAUCAAGCAGAACACCUGCGGCGAAGGCGGCCUUCUGGACGGUGACUGACGCUGAGACGCGAAAGCGUGGGGAGCAAACAGG
rnacentral:rRNA from 1 species